UACGUAGGCAGCAAGCGUUGUUCGGAGUUACUGGGCGUAAAGGGUGUGUAGGCGGUUCCUUAAGUUUGCUGUGAAAUCUCCCGGCUUAACCGGGAGGGUGCGGUGAAUACUGAGGGACUAGAGUACGGGAGAGGAAAGUGGAAUUCCUGGUGUAGCAGUGAAAUGCGCAGAUAUCAGGAAGAACACCUAUGGCGAAGGCAGCUCUCUGGGACGGUACUGACGCUGAGACGCGAAAGCGUGGGGAGCGAACAGG
rnacentral:rRNA from 1 species